rnacentral:rRNA from 1 species
UACGUAGGGUCCGAGCGUUGUCCGGAAUUAUUGGGCGUAAAGAGCUCGUAGGCGGUCUGUUGCGUCGGUUGUGAAAACCUGGGGCUCAACUCCAGGCCUGCAAUCGAUACGGGCAGACUAGAGUUCGGUAGGGGAGACUGGAAUUCCUGGUGUAGCGGUGAAAUGCGCAGAUAUCAGGAGGAACACCGGUGGCGAAGGCGGGUCUCUGGGCCGUAACUGACGCUGAGGAGCGAAAGCGUGGGGAGCGAACAGG